rnacentral:rRNA from 1 species
AACGAACGCUGGCGGCAUGCCUUACACUUGCAAGUCGAACGAGAUCUUCGGGUCUAGUGGCGCACGGGUGCGUAACGCGUGGGAAUCUGCCCUUUGGUUCGGAAUAACAGUUGGAAACGACUGCUAAUACCGGAUGAUGACGAAAGUCCAAAGAUUUAUCGCCAGAGGAUGAGCCCGCGUAGGAUUAGCUAGUUGGUGUGGUAAAGGCGCACCAAGGCGACGAUCCUUAGCUGGUCUGAGAGGAUGAUCAGCCACACUGGGACUGGGACACGGCCCAGACUCCUACGGGAGGCAGCAGUGGGGAAUAUUGGACAAUGGGCGAAAGCCUGAUCCAGCAAUGCCGCGUGAGUGAUGAAGGCCUUAGGGUUGUAAAGCUCUUUUACCCGGGAUGAUAAUGACAGUACCGGGAGAAUAAGCUCCGGCUAACUCCGUGCCAGCAGCCGCCGUAA